rnacentral:rRNA from 1 species
UGGGGAAUCUUGCACAAUGGGGGCAACCCUGAUGCAGCAACGCCGCGUGAACGUUGAAGGUCUUCGGAUCGUAAAGUUCUGUUGCAGGGGAAGAUAAUGACGGUACCCUUUGAGGUAGCCCCGGCUAACUACGUGCCAUCAGCCGCGGUAAUACGUAGGGGGCUAGCGUUAUCCGGAUUUACUGGGCGUAAAGGGUGCGUAGGUGGUAUUUCAAGUCGGAGGUUAAAGGCUACGGCUCAACCGUAGUUAGCCUCCGAAAAUGGAAGAGUUGAGGGAAGGAGAGGAAAGUGGAAUUCCCAGUGUAGCGGGGGAAAGCGGAAAUAUUGGGAGGAAAAACAGGAGCGAAGGCGGAUUUCUGGACUGAAACUGACAAUGAGGCACGAAAGCGUGGGUAGCAAACAGG